CUGGAUUUCAUUUGCCUUUAAUUAAACACAAAGCUGUUACAUAUUUUUCUCUUCUAAUAGCUGCUGGAAGUCUAAGCAUAUGGAAACGAUACCUAUGAAAAUCAAAUGGACAUUUUGGGCUUUGUGGAUCAUUAAAGGUUUACACUUAAAAAUUAUUUUUUAAUUAAAAAAAUAAAAAUUAAUUAAAGGAUGACAAAUACAUUGGGAUGUUACUCAAAAUGAUAAUCCUGUCUGCAGCUCACUUCAGUUAUUCCUUGACUAGUUCUCUCACCGUCCAUAGAUUUUAUCCUCACCAGGAAAUCAUGGCACACUUGCCUAGAUAUCACUGUGCACAUGGGAAAACACUCGCAACGGGCUACAACUGUGCAGAUGACCAUAACUCUUCCUCACCCUGUGAGGAACUCUAGUUUUCUGCAGAACACAAUUUUUCCAUCAGUGUGUAGGGGCAGCAAAGUGACAAUGCCAAAUAUAUAAGGCAAUUUAAAAUUAUUUCACAAAGGUAUUAAAAACAAACACCCACAUUGUGGUUCAAAUCCAGAUGAAGUACCUGGUCCCAGAUGCCAAUGUCCAAACUCAUAAAAACAUAUGACAUGGGCCUGGUGCGCUGGCUCUACAAGUGCACAUCACCAUGCCUAGAUACUUUUAAAAAUUUCUUUUUAUAGAGACUGUGUCUCACUAUGUGCCCAGACUGGCCUUGAACUCCUGUGCUCAAGUGAUCCUCCUGCCUCAGCCUCCCGAAGCUUUGGAAUUACAAGUGUGAGCCACUGCCCCUGGUCCUGCCGUUAUUUCUGUAUUACUGCUCACUAUUUCCUAACUCAUGAGCAGUUCUUGAAAUAGUAUUAAAAAAAAAGAAAUAGUAUUUAAGACAUAUUACAUGGUGGAACUAUAAAUGAAUUCAUGAUGAGAUUGUCACUUACUGAAGCCCGAUCCUUUAUUCUGCAUUCCCUAUUAUCUACCUUGUCAAGUUUGAUACUAUACUUUAUUCUGCCUUGAUAUUAUCCAAAAAAAAAAUUUUUUUUUUUUUGAGAUGGAGUCUUACUCUUGUCGCCCAGGCUGGAGUGCAGUGGCGCAAUCUUGGCUCACUGCAACCUCUGCCUCCCGGGUUCAAGCGAUUCUCCUGCCUCAGCCUCCCAAGUAGCUGGGAUUACAGGCGCCUGCCACCACGCCUGGCCAAUUUUUUGUAUUUUUAGUAGAGACAAGGUUUCACCAUGUUCACCAUGUUGGCCAGCGUGGUCUCGAACUCCUCACAUCAGGUGAUCCACCCGCCUCGGUGGGUCCUGGGAUUACAGGCGUGAGCCAUUGCUACUGGGCUCCAAUAAAGUUUAAACUUGUUUUAUUAGUUAUCUUUUUAUGUCUUUUGCUAGACUUAUUUAAUACUUAAAUUUAUAAAACCGUUACGUAAGUUUUUGUCAUUAUGAAUAAACAAGAAUUUAUUAGGCUGGGCGCGGUGGCUCAC
rnacentral:lncRNA from 1 species